GCCUGGUGUGGUUGCGCACAUCUGUAAUCCCAGUGGCUGGGGAGGCUAAGACAGGAGGAUCACAAAGUCAGCCUCAGCAAUGGCAAGGUGCUAAGCAACUCAGUGAGACCCUGUCUCUA
rnacentral:sRNA from 1 species